AGUGGCGGACGGGUGAGUAACGCGUGAGAAUCUGCCUUGGGGUCGGGGACAACCACUGGAAACGGUGGCUAAUACCGGAUACGCCUUCGGGUAAAAGAUUUAUUGCCCUAAGAGGAGCUCGCGUCUGAUUAGCUAGUUGGUGAGGUAAGAGCUCACCAAGGCAGCGAUCAGUAGCUGGUCUGAGAGGACGAUCAGCCACACUGGGACUGAGACACGGCCCAGACUCCUACGGGAGGCAGCAGUGGGGAAUUUUCCGCAAUGGGCGAAAGCCUGACGGAGCAAGACCGCGUGAGGGAGGAAGGCUCUUGGGUUGUAAACCUCUUUUCUCAGGGAAGAAACUCUGACGGUACCUGAGGAAUCAGCCUCGGCUAACUCCGUGCCAGCAGCCGCGGUAAUACGGAGGAGGCAAGCGUUAUCCGGAAUUAUUGGGCGUAAAGCGUCCGCAGGUGGCGAUUCAAGUCUGCUGUCAAAGCACGGGGCUUAACUCCGUAAAGGCAGUGGAAACUGAAUAGCUAGAGUGCCGUAGGGGUAGAGGGAAUUCCCGGUGUAGCGGUGAAAUGCGUAGAGAUCGGGAAGAACAUCGGUGGCGAAAGCGCUCUACUGGACGGCAACUGACACUCAGGGACGAAAGCUAGGGGAGCGAAUGGGAUUAGAUACCCC
rnacentral:rRNA from 1 species